UACGUAGAGCGCAAGCGUUAUCCGGAAUUAUUGGGCGUAAAGAGCUCGUAGGCGGUUUGUCGCGUCUGCCGUGAAAGUCCGGGGCUCAACUCCGGAUCUGCGGUGGGUACGGGCAGACUAGAGUGAUGUAGGGGAGACUGGAAUUCCUGGUGUAGCGGUGAAAUGCGCAGAUAUCAGGAGGAACACCGAUGGCGAAGGCAGGUCUCUGGGCAUUAACUGACGCUGAGGAGCGAAAGCAUGGGGAGCGAACAGG
rnacentral:rRNA from 1 species